rnacentral:lncRNA from 1 species
AUCAACUCCCGGGUCUGCACUUAGAAGCAGGGAUGGGGGCUUGUGGCUCCAGUCGUGGCUCCCCAGGGUGGGGGUAAAAGCCCCUGUGGGGUCAUCCCAGGGGCAGCGCUGUGAGGGGUGGGUCCCGGAGCAUAAAGCAUGAGGGCUCCCCCGCACCCAGGACUGAGGGCCUCCAGGGUGCAUCCUGGACACCAGCCCAGCAUUUCUGCAUUCCCUGCACAACCUGGGACAUGAAAGAGCACACACUCUGCCAACCCUCUGGCCCCUGGGCCUCUGAACUGAGGAAAUGGCUGAAUAAUUAAUGAGGCUGGAGCACUUCAGAGAGGGGGCCCCCGGGGACAGUGUGGGCAGAGGAAGGGGCAUGGACAAGUGAGGGCGGGGGACCUGGCAUGUGGAGAGAUGCCAGGAGUCCUGAUGAAGUCUGUGGCUGUGGCUUCCACUGCAGUUCACAGCUGUUGACUCACACGGAGGAAAGUGACCACGAGAGCUUGCAUACGGAUUGUGUUGCAAACCCUCAGCCUGUUGCACAUCUAACCUCCCAGUGGUGUCACUAUUGUCCCCCCACCUCAAGCUCCCUACCAAGAAAAGCUACCUGUGGACUUUUCAGAGGUAGUUCGUGGGACUGGAUUUAGGCUGGAUCCCGGGAACCCUUGCUAAGAUGAGGGCUACAGGACAGGAGACUUUCUGGGGCAUUUAGAGAAGGGCCAGACCAGCCAGGAGGGUGGUUGUGGUACAUGUGACUUCCAGCAGGUGCUGGACAAGGGUGGCUUGCAUGGCAGUUCCCAGAGGGGAUCAAGGGUCCUUAGAGGCAUCCCUGCCAGGUACUUGGUUGCUUCUGGUGAUGAGAUGCUCUCUUCUUUUGAGGCUGCAGCUCUAUUAUGUGGACAUCCAAGCAUGUGACCUGGGGACUUCCCAUCUCUUGUUUUGUCUGUCGACUCAACACUACCCUUACCCUUUCUGCAGGCCCCAAAGGGGCAGCAGCUCCCCAAACUCAGCCUGCAGAAAUAGGGUACGCACCUUUGUUGAGUGCUUGCCACGUGUCUGGUUCUUUCCUGACUGAGUCUACUGGAUAGUUCAGAUGUGUAAGCAGGAGUGCCUCCCCUUUAAAGAGAAAUAAACUGAGGCACAGAGACACUGAGUACUUGGUUCAAAUCACACCCCUAAUAGCGGGUGAGUUGGGGUCCAAAUGCAUGUGGCUGAGCUGGGAUUGGAACUUCAGGCCCUUUGCGUGUCAAUCUGGAACUGGAGGAGGCUCUCAUUCUUUUGCUGGGCGUUUUGAGGGCCUUUGAGUCGGGCUCACUGUUGGCGCAGCUUCUCAGGUGCUGCCCACUGCCCCAGCCGCCCAGCUCGCUCAAGCCCUUCUCAGCCUAAAGCAACUACUAGAGCAGCUGUCAGACUCGGGAGCCUGCCUGGGCCUGGAUCUCCUUCCCACGCUUCCUUUCCCCCUUCUUUGCAAAGCCUGGUUGAAGCAGGUGGAUGUCCUGUAUUUGCCGGGUGGAUGGGACCCACCUGUUACCCCCUUCUCCCUGGUCUUGCUGUGGGGCACUUGCCCAGGCUUUCUUUCUCUGCUAACACCCAAGCAUGCCACCAAAGCAAGUGGAGGACCCCUCCUUUAAGCUCAGCAUUGGCUUAUGCCCACCCUCUCUGCACAUCCUUCCGGCUCUGCAUCCCUUGGCUCUGAUUGGCUUAGGGCUUUCCUGUGCACCUCAGGUGCAUGCUUGUCCAGCACCAUGUAUGGUCUGAAGAAACUCAGGAGGGCUUCCUGGAGAAGGUGGUCUUGUAGUACUAGGCGGCAGUAGCUCACUCUGAAGUCCCUGCCGGGCACAGACACAGGGCCUGAAGGUGCCGGCUGUGGGGAGGAGGCACAGACGGAGGAAGGAGGGAAUGCUGCCGGAGCCUGGCCAGCCCAGGGUCGAUGGACAGAGUGUCCGCAGACCUCCCACGAACACUUUGCACAGAUUGUCGUGAACCGACACCAGCAGCACCCCAGCUGCUCCUCUCUUCCUAGCCCCAUCCUGGCUGGUUGGGCACAGAUUAAAUCAUUGGAUGGUCUUGACCCUGGCGUCUGGUGGAGGUUGGGAGGCUGCAGUGUGAGUUGCCUGCCAUGAAGCAUGGCAGGAACUUCAGCUUCAUCUGGCUGGCGGCCCCUCUGCCAGGGCAGUGGGCAGGAGCUGGUCAGGUGGUCCGCGCUGCACCACCCUCUGCUUCUUGUGGGGGGCGUCCAGUGCUCCCUGCAGAGGGCUCUGGGCACUGUAAGAACAGGCCGGUCUUGCAUUUUAACACAAAAACACUUUAUUGACCUUUAGCCAGCAAGGGAGGAAUUGAGGCCAAGGGCGCAUCCAUUCCUCCUGAGAGGGAGGCCUUCUUAGGGAACUCUGAAACCAGACUAGGAGGGGCUAGUGUGCGCCACCGUGGAGCCUCCUUCUGACUUGAGUGGGGCCGCAUUUCCUGUGUUUUGGGGACCCUGAAAGGCAGUUGCCAACUAUGACAGCACAGUGAGGGGCUGGCCUCUUAGGUGUACCCAGCCAGCGUCCUCCAGCCCGACCUGGAGCAGCAGCCCUUGGGUUCUCGGAGCAGGGCCCCAGGCUGUCUGCUCGGCCUUGGGGUUCUGCCCCAUGGGUGCCAGGUGGCUGCUCAGGGCCCUGGCGUCUGGCCGACCCUGCCCACUUGUGGGCAUGAGGAUGGGGCUGGUACUCCUUUCCCUGCCACCCCUUCGCUGGGGUGUCCUGCUGCUCCCAGAGCUGCUUCACGUCACCAAUGUGGCCUUGUGGGGCGUGCCCAGGCUUCAGGAGGAGGAGCCAGCAUCAGAGAUUCAGAACAUUAACUGCCACCAACUGCCAUCAGAAAUGGAGCGGGCGCUGCUGGCUGGAACCUUCUGAACGUCCAAUCGGAGAGACCACACCUGAUCUUGCAUCUGUCAAAGGAUUCCUUUGGAGACCUUCGAUGCUUCUACAGGAUAGAAGAAAGCUCUGGUGAAACAGGCCACAGGGCGACGCUGCGGAGGAGAUGAGUCGGACGCAUCUGGAAGAUUCUAGUCUUCAGCUCCGUGGUUUCUCAGAAGAGGUUGGGUUUACCCAGAACUGGGCCCUGUCUCCCACAAUUAAGAGUGGACGAGGGCUCGAGGGACAUUGUGAACUAUGGUCCUGACUUAUCCUUCCCUAUGAGGCCCUGGGCCUGGGCUGGCUCCGGCUCUGGCGUCAGAUCCUCUCCAGGCGAGGUGACCCUUGUGGGGUGGUCAGGGAAGCUGCGAGCUGCCCUGGGGAUCCAGGCCCGUCCUCCUUGGGAUCAGGAGAGCAUACCGCCUAUCUAGUGCUCAGUUCUCUAUCUUCUUGCUGCUCUGGUAUUUAUACCAUUCCUUUAGCAUCUUGACCCACUUAUCUGCUCGCCCAGUCUCCCGGAGUUUCUGCUAGAAAAUGAGAAAUGGUGGUGUUAGCCAAGCUGCCAGCUUUCCUGGAGUGGCACAGCGUUGAGUCAUGCUUAGGAGCCCCGAUGUGGGCGAACUCAGAGGAGCCAGAAAAGGCACAGACUGACUCACACAGACACCAGGGCUUCCAGCUGGGUCCCAGCCUCGAGGUGGGGUCUUGGCAGCCAGCGGGCAGUGACCCCUGAGCUGAGUGUGUGGUUCUGGGACAAGUGGAUUUGGUAAAACCUCCCCCAGGACAGCUUGGAGGUCGGGGGUGGCAGGAACCCCAGUCCCUGCACCCAUGGACCUCCUCCUGCCUGCACAGUGAGGACAAGCUCUUACCAUUACCGGCCCCCCCCCCCCCCCCCCCCCCCCCGCCCCGGGUGCUGAGGCUGGGCAGCUCCUUCUCACUGGAAGGCAAAAGAAGCAGAGCCAUGAGGACCUGCCCCAGGCCAGGUGCCAGGGAAGGACCAGGCCCUCCCCUCACUAAACCCCAAGUCUCAGCCCAGGUGACUCUGGAAGGGAGGGCUAACCCCAGGAGGGUGCCAGCAACAUGGGGCAGAGGGAGGGCAGCGGCUGCCAGGUGCUUAUGGGGCUCCAGCCACAGUCAUGCCAGAGGCAGUGGCCUCUGUAGGAGCCUAAGAAGGGACAGUGCUGGCACGGGGAAUGGGCUGCGUCCUGAUAGCAGGCCCCCAGAAGGUGACCUGCCACUGUCCUGGGGUUGGGCCAGCCUGAGAACUCCCCAGUACAGCCAGGGUACACCCUGUGCCCAUCCUGCUGACAUCCUCAUGCCCCUCAUGGGUCUGUCUGCCGUCUAUCCUGCCUCUCUCUGCACCCCUCCCGUCCCCUGACUUCACCCCUCUCUCGUCCGUCACUUCAGCCACUCUGGCCUAUCUUUUACCCCUUAUCUUGUCAGAACCUCUGAGCACGACCCACCCCUGAUUGGCCCAAACAACUGCUCAUCCACUGGGCAAUGAGUGUGACCGAGGGGCAGACAGGUUGGCCCCGUGCCGUGUAUCCAGCCUCAGCCUGCUUCUCAUGGUGGCCGUUGGCUUCCUUCCCUCCCACUGCAGCAUCACCGCACAGCCUGCUGCGCUCUCUACCUUCACACUCCAUGCACCAGGGCAGCCUCCUCCCCAUCCUCCCUUCUGCUGAUGGGGGUCAUCCACCCUCUCUGCUCUGCACCACCACCCCUCCCCCGCCUGAUCAUGGCGCCUCCUCCACGGCUUCUCGCCUGCACUUUUGACCAGCAGUGUCUUUAGAGAGCACUGCAGAGGCCUUCAUGCCUUCAGGACUGACCGAGGCUCCUGGCUCAGGUGUCUCAGGUGAGUCGCUUUGGCCCUGGGCCUCUCCCCAUUCCAGGCUGUCCUCCCCCAAAGAGGAUGCCACCAUCCCAGGAGCCCAGCGCCUUCGGCCCUGCUGCAGGCUAGCUCCGUCCAGGUAGACACACACACACACACACACACACACACACCACCCUAAUCCCAUCCUCCUCCAGUGUCCUCUCCUCUCACCCUUGACAACAACCUGGCCCGCCUUCCACCCCAAAUCUCCUCCUAGCACCAGACCAAGGGGUCAGGUUGUCUUCAGCCUCAAACUCGACCUGCCUGUCACCAUCCCAUGAGAUUCUGAGGCCAGGUCCUGCCAGAAUGCUCCCCCUGCCUGUCCCCUCAAUGCCUGAGGCCACACCCCUUGUUGCCCUCAUGCUAGUCGCCACAUGGCCACUCAACUGGGCCCACUUGAGCCCUCGGAGACCUGCUGGACAACUGCCCACAGGCUUGCUCAGGUGCCCCUCACCCUGUGGAACCACUGCUGACCGGGCUGGACUCUCCCUCUGGCCUGGGAGGUGGACACCAUCACCCCCUCUCCGUUACGGGCAUGGAGGCCACACUGCUGAAGGCCCAAGCACCUGGCCCAAUGCCCAGCUCCACCCCCUGCCCAUUUCCUCAAGUUUGCAUGCUGGGUCUCUUGGCUUGAGCCCAGUGCACACCCUGGCCCACAGUGGGCACCAGGGGAUAAGGCCCUGAGCUGGGGAGACAGGUCCUGCCUCCAGAGAGGUGUUUCUGCAAACAGAGACCAUCCCUGAGUUGAGAUGGAGGGGUGUCUAGACAACUCACUGCAGAAAAGCAAGAUGGUCGGUGACUUUGUAUAGUGAGAGGUCAGCAUCCUCCGCAGGUUCUGCAGGCACCCUGCAUGUCAUCCCUGAAACCCAAGGUGGGGGGGGGAGGCAUCACAGUGAGGGCAUACUAGAGCCAGGGACAGGGGGCGAGGAGGGAGCAGGCCAGCUCCUGCAUCCUGAGGGAGCCCAGGAACCUCUGACUGGGCACAGCACAAGAGGCGAGGACCCGCCUGCCUGAAUGGGAGCAGCCUCACCUGCUUCUACUGGCUAGGAUCCUCACCUGGGCCUCACCUGCUCAUCCUUGGCUAUGAUCCUGCCUGGGACGUACCUGCUCCUGUUACAUGAUCCCCACCUGGGUCUCAUCUGUUCCUGCUGCCUAUGAUCUCCGCCUGGGCUGUUCCUGCUCAUCCUUGACUAUGGCCCCCACCAGGGAAGUACCUGCUUCUACUGGGGAUGACCCCUGCUUGGGCCUUACCUGCUAUUGAUGCUUAUGAUUCCUGCCUGGGUCUCACCUGCUUGUCCUUCACUAUCAUUCCUGCUUGGACCUGCUCGUCCUUGGCUAUGAUCCCGCACUGAGUCUCCCCUGCUUCUGCUGGCCAUGGUCCCUGCCUGGCCUGUAUCUGCUCCUAGUGGCUAUGAUCUCCCCCUGGGCCUUACCUGAUUGCAUUUGGCUGUUAUCGCUGCUUGUUCUAGGGCCAGCUGGCUCCCCAGGUCCUCCUUCGUGUCCAUGCUGCAAGACAAAAACUCUGAGUAUUACACUGCACUGAAGAGCUUCAAGAACAAACAAGUCUGUUCCCUCUUGGCAGCUCCCCAGGCUGUCCGAUCUGAGUGGAGAAAACCCUACAGCCAGGUUGGGUGACAUCCUGGGUUGGUGGAUCAUAGGUUCACACUCACUUUCUAACACUCCCGCUUACAGGCUGCCUUCCCAGCCACCUGGGAAAUUCCGUCAUAAUGAGAUUACAAAGCUCUCUUCAGCCAGCUUUAUAAGGGACAGGAGGACCCAGAGGUCAGAUGGACUGCUGAUCUGCAGUGCAGUGUGGUGUCCUCUCGACCCGGCGCUGGCACUGAGGAAAGGAGAGGGCAGCUGCUGCUGAUGAGCGGCUUCCUGCAGGCUUACUGGGAAUCAAAUUUUGCUCUUGGACACCAAAAGCACAAGCAAUAAAAAAAAUCAAUAAACUUGACUUCAUCACAAUUAAAACUUCAGUGCUUCAAAUGAUAGCAUCGAGAAAGCAAAAAGGCAACCCACAUGAUGGGUGAAAAUGAAUGCAAAUUGCCUAUCUGAUACCAGGUCUAGUAUACAGAAUACGUAAAGAACUCAUAACUCAACAAUGAAAAGACGAAUAGCCCAGUUAGAAAAUGGACAAAGGACUUAGACAGACAUUUCUCUAAAGUGAUAGACUAACGGCCAACAAGCACAUGAAAAGAUGUGCAAUGGCGUUAGCCCUCGGGGAAAUGCAAAUCAAAACCACAAUGAGAUACUACUUGUCACCCAUUGGAAUGGCUGUUACCAAGAAAAUGGAAAAGAACAAGUGUUGGCGAGGAUGUGGAGAAAUUAGAACACUCCUCUGUUGCUGGAAGGAAUGUAAAAUGGUGCAGCUGCUGUGGAAAACAGUUUGGUAGUUCCUCAAAAAGUUAAACCUAGAGUUACCAUAUGACCCAGCAAUUCUGCUCAUAGGUAUAGACCCAGGAGAAGUGAAAACAGGUACUCAAAUAUUUGCACGUGCAUAUUCAUAGAAGAACUACUCACAAUAGCAAAAAGGCGGAAACAGUCUAAGUGUCUAUGGACAGAUGAAUGGAUAAACAAAAUGUGAUCUAUACAUGCAAUGGAAUAUUAUUCCACCGUAGAAAGGAACGAAAUUUUGGUACAUGCUACUACAUGGAUGGACAUUAUGCUAAGUGAAAGAAGUCAGACACAAAAGGCUACAUAUUGUAUGAUUCCAUUUAUAUGAAAUGUCCAGAAUAGCCAGAUCUAUAGACACAGCAAGUGGUCCAGUGGUCCACAGGGGCUGGGGGAGAGGGCCAUGGGGGCACCUGCUGAUGGGUAAGAGAUUUCUUUGUGGGGUAGUGAAACGCUGUGGAAAUAGUGAUGACAACUGCACAACUCUGUAAAUACUCUAAAAACCACUGAGUUGUAUACUUUAAUGGCUGAAUUUGAUGAUUUAUGAAUUUAACAAAAUCCGUCCUCAGAGCCACAUUCCCCACCAUCCCAAUCCUGAGGGAUCCUGAAGGUGGGAGUUGAGAACUGCACAUAGAUUGAAAGAACUUCCAGGGGCACUCCCACCCAUGGACACCCCCUUGCUCCUGCCCUCUCAGCUGUUCCCUGGACCAUGCACUUAACCUGGGGAUGUCCCUGCAGCAGGGUAGAGCAGGGAUUGGAGACCAGAGGUCUCUAGGACCAGCUUCCAGGCGCUUCCACAGACCAGGCAAGCACCCAGUCCUUAAUAGGCAACAGGAACUCUUACAUCUACUCCAUUCUCCUUAAAUCUUAACUGAUUCUGGCUGGUGAAUCAACCUAGAGAACAGCACCAAUCAAUCGGGAGGGUUUGGGUUUACCUUGUGGGACAUGAGGUCCUGGAGAACACCCAGAUGGACUGAACCACCAGGGAGCAUACAAGGGGCAUGGGGUGGGUGACAAGUCUAGAGAACUUGGGACAGGGGGCUGUGCCCCUGUUCCAGCCCUCAGGACAGAUGCUCAUCACCUGUCCAGGGGUCCCCAAAUCUAGACAGGCUGGAGAGGUCAAGGCUAGAGUCUAGCAUCACACAGUGCGGGGCUUCUGAGUGAGUGGUGGGGCCCUGGGCGAGUUGUCGAAGCUCUAACCUCAGUCUCCUCUCCUGGAGGCACCACGGGCAGCACCCCACACCCCAGGAUGCUGUGGGAGGGCUGCAUGAGGCCGGAUCACUGUCAGUGCCAGGGGGUCAGUGUCACCCUUGGCCUCAGCCCAGGUAGGCCAGCGCUGCCCACUCAUUGGCCACUGUUCCAAAAGUGGCCCCAAGGGAAGAGGGAGCAGGUUACGCUCACCUGUCUUACCAAUCUCUGUGAGAGUUGUCUAGAAAGGGACGUGAAGGUCAAGUGGGGCAGUGCGAGUGUUGCAGAGCCUAUCGCAGAGCACGAGUGCCUCCAACUAUGUGGACAGGAAGCAGAGUGGGUGCCAGGCAGUGGGCAGAACUGUGGGAAGGACUGCCAUUCCUCCCGACAGUGAAGCCUCUGGGUCCACAGUGCAGACCAGUGGAACAGGGUCAGCACUUAGUCCUUAACCCCUGAAGGUCAAGCACCCCAGGGGAAGGGUCCUGUCACCACGCAGGGCACAGGUGAGGGAGGGCAGGUGUGAGCCCAAGGAGCAGGAGACCCAGGUGCAUAUGUCCUCUGUCCCCUGCAGGACGAGCUCCGUGCCCCAACAAUCCUCACUGUCCUUCCCUCCUGCUCUUCCCCUGCUUGUUAGCAGUGCGUGGAGUAUGCUCAUAUCGACUUUUUAAGCCUUUUUAUUUUGAAUUAACAAUCAGCACAGCAAGUUCCCCCACAUGCCUCACCUAGCUUCCCUGAGGCUCCCCGGGUCUGACAAUCAAACCAGGGGCUCAGGCGGGUACAGCCUGCACUGGGGCCCCAUCCUGGCCCCUCACUGCUUGCUCUGCGUUGGCCUGGGCCCCCUGCUCCUCACUGAUCCUCCUCCUCUUCUUCCCCCUCCUCCAUCCUCCUCCAUUUGACUCCUCUUUCUUCCUCCUCCUCCAUAUUCCUUUACUUCCACCUCCAUUUCCUCCUCCAUCCUCUUCCAUCUCCUGCCUCCUUUCUCUGAUUCCUCCACCUUUCUCCUCUUCCAUCUUCCUCCUCCAUCCUCCUCCUCUGCUAUCCUCCUCUAUUCUCCUCCGUCCUCCUCUUCCGUCUCCUCCUCCUCCAUCCACCUCCUGCUGCUCCCCCGCCUCCAUUCUCCUCUCCUGUCCCCUCCAUCCUCCUCCUCCUCCUCCCUCCUUCCUCCUCCAUCCUGUGUCCCCCUCUGACACCCUGCCUCCCUCAGGCGGGGCUGGGCUCUGAGCAGACCUGCACAGACAGGAGGCCCCCCUGGGCCAGGCCACGUCAGAACAACCCUCCAAGCUUGGAGACUCACUGCAACCCAAGGAUGUCACCACAUCUCACAACAAAUUUCACUGUCGUUCAUGUUUUAUUAGUAUAAGUGCCUUAAAAGCAGAUCAGAGAUUCAACUAAUUUGCUCAUUAGUAAAAGGAAAUUAGCCAUUUGAGAUCUGUUCUAAUAAAAUUAGCUUGGUGACAAAGGCUUUGUUGCCACGUUUAUUAGAUUACCAUACUCCUCGCAUUUUAAAGGCCAGAGCGGUCAGCAAGUCUUCAGGGUGUUCUCAGAGCUUCUCUCUUCCAGGUUUUUGUACUUCCUUUCAGGCCUGUGGAGGAUUAUUUUUUCCCCUUUCAUGGCUAAUUUGGAAAGUCUGACCCAAAUCUGUGUUCACUCACACAUCCCACAAGUCCUUGGGGUGCACAGUAUCCCUCUCCCCGCUACCCCGAUGUGCUCCCACCUCCCACCUCUUGGCUUGGCCCUGCCCCCAGCCCCAGCCCCUAGGUUUCUAUGUUGCUGGUCCUUUAAGGGAGCCAGUGGCCCCCUGCCAUGCCCAGCCCAGCCACAGGCUGGCAGCAGCAGCCCCCUCCACUUCCCUAAUUGCCUGGUGGGCUUUUUCACUAUUCCUUGCAUGGUCUCCCUGCCCCACGGAGCCUUCUGCCUUAUACUCCAGCUUAAGACCACCCGGCUCCACUUAGUCAUCUGUUUCUAUGCCCCUGGAAGUGAACCACCCCCAGUAGUGUGGUCAGCUCCCUUGUUUGCUUCUAUCCUGCAUGUGCUUGGCUGGCUGGUGCUCAGCUGGCAUGGAUGGGAAACUCUAUGAAGCAGCCCAUUGUACACCGAGCUGCCUGGAGGGCCCCCAUGUGUCUGAGGCCGGGGGAGGGAUGUGUGGGUCCUGAGAAGCCCCUAGCUAAUCCCAGACUGUAUGAUUUAAGAGCAAGUGCUCCCCAGCGUGGCCACAGCCCUCUGCUGGCACCUCUCUUUUAGCAGCAUUUCAUCCUACCCUGUGUAUCAUUUUCACAACCACCAUGAGCACCAUCUCUGUACCAGGCGCUGGGUCAGUCAGUGCUUUCUACGCAUUCUUCUGUUUAAUCGUCUGGAUGACAUAAGGAGGCAGACGGCACUGUUAUUCUCAUUUUAAAGAUACAGGGACUGAUGUCUAGAAAGUUUCCUUACCCUGCUUGUAAGCUGCAGAGUAAAUGCGAACCCAGCCUCAUGUGUCUGCAAAGUACCUGACUCUAACCAUUGGGCUAUUCUGUGUGCUUGGGGAAGUGCUGCCGGCCCAUCCUGAGCAUGGGGUGUGAGCUUCCUGAAGGUGGGUCUGUGGCUCAGACAUCGUACAUCCCUCACGGUGCCUGGCACAGACUGGUGUGUGGUGCGUGCUCAGGCACGUUACUGAGGGAACAGGUGGAGGGGGGAGAGAUGAUCAGACAGCCUCAACUACUCUGGGGUCAGGGUCACAGGCCCAUGGCAGGGGACCCUGGGCUGGUCCAGCAGAACCUGAGUGCUUUUCCUCUUUUCCCUUUCCUCCAGCAGCCCCAGGCCCAGCGUCUCCUGGCCCCUCCCGGCUCCCUCCGCUCCUGGUACAAAUCGUUGGCUCAGACAACAGCGAUGGGUUUAUCCCACAGGAUGUGACUCUGAAUAUUAGAAUGUCAGGAGCGUCUGCCUUCGCGAUAAGUUGCUGUCAGAGAGGAAAUAAGAGGGGAGUUGGAGUUAUUUAAUUUGGAGCGUGCAGGCGACAGGCUGGGCCUGAGGGCUUGCUGCUGUUUCCCAGCAGUUGGGGCAUCAAAGCCCCCAGGACCACCCCCUUGAUUCUCACCCUCCCGCUGGUCACGCCCUCCUCCAGCCCCCUCACCUCUAGCCCCACGUCCCACAGGGGUGCCUGGCGCCCACUGAGCCUUUGCUGACACCUCCCCUCCCUCCAGAGCUCUCUUACCUCCUACCUCUCAAGCACCCACCCCCAAACCCUGCAGUCCUCGGCAC